rnacentral:rRNA from 1 species
GACGAACGCUGGCGGCGUGCUUAACACACGCAAGUCGAGCGGUAAGGCCCUUUCGGGGGUACGACGAGCGGCGAACGGGUGAGUAACACGUGGGUGACCUGCCCUUAGCUCUGGGAUAAGCCUGGGAAACUGGGUCUAAUACCGGAUAUGACUCCAUGACGCAUGUUGUGGGGUGGGAAAGCCUUGUGCGGCUAGGGAUGGGCCUGCGGCCUAUCAGCUUGUUGGUGGGGUGAUGGCCACCAAGGCGACGACGGGUAGCCGGCCUGAGAGGGCGACCGGCCACACUGGGACUGAGACACGGCCCAGACUCCUACGGGAGGCAGCAGUGGGGAAUCUUGCGCAAUGGGCGAAAGCCUGACGCAGCGACGCCGCGU